UGAGGAAUAUUGCGCAAUGGGCGAAAGCCUGACGCAGCAACGCCGCGUGAGCGAUGAAGGCCUUCGGGUUGUAAAGCUCUUUUCUGGGGGACGAGGAAGGACGGUACCCCAGGAAUAAGCCUCGGCUAACUACGUGCCAGCAGCCGCGGUAAAACGUAGGAGGCAAGCGUUAUCCGGAUUUACUGGGCGUAAAGCGCGUGCAGGCGGUUUGGUAAGUUGGAUGUGAAAUCUCCUGGCUCAACUGGGAGAGGUCAUUCAAUACUGCCAGACUUGAGGACGGAAGAGGGGAGUGGAAUUUCUGGUGUAGUGGUGAAAUGCGUAGAUAUCGGAAGGAACACCAGUGGCGAAGGCGGCUCCCUGGUCCGUGCCUGACGCUAAGACGCGAAAGCUGGGGGAGCGAAUGGGAUUAGAGACCCCAGUAGUCCUAGCUGUAAACAUUGGAUACUAGGUGUAGGGAGUAUUGACCCUCUCUGUGCCGAAGCUAACGCGUUAAGUAUCCCGCCUGGGGACUACGGCCGCAAGGUUA
rnacentral:rRNA from 1 species